CAGACAGAGAACAUGGAAAAAGCUGAGAAGCUGCGAUCAACUCAGUCCUUCCCUCUUCUGUGCAGUUCUCCAAGGAGCAGCUCAGAGCACAGAGCAGCUCCUCUGAGGAAGUCUGUGUCCGUCUCUGAACUGGUUGCCAGGUACCAGAGCAUCCUGGACCAUGAAAGCAGCAUGUCCAAGCAAGAAUAUCCCAAGCUCAUGGAGAGAAGAUAUCUUGCACAGAGUGACGUCAAUCCAAUGGGAAAGAAGCAUACCUUAUCUCAAAUGCAUUCCAGUGAUGUGUCCUGGAGCAAGUCCAUGGAGGAUAUCCAUAAAACCAGUGCCACAACAAGGAAUCUCAAUGGAUGCCUGACCAACUUGGACACCCCUAAAGCCAAUCCACUGAAGCAUACAGAGGAAAUGGAGUCCUACCAUCAUCACAUGGAAGGACUCUGCCGCAAAGGAACGAAGGAUCUCCCAUGA
rnacentral:lncRNA from 1 species